rnacentral:rRNA from 1 species
UGCGUAGGCGGGCUAAUAAGUCAGUGGUGAAAUAUUCCGGCUCAACCGGGAGACUGCCAUUGAUACUGUUAGUCUUGAGUUCGGCUGCGGUAGGCGGAAUGUGUAAUGUAGCGGUGAAAUGCUUAGAUAUUACACAGAACACCAAUUGCGUAGGCAGCUUACUAGACCGACACUGACGCUGAGGCACGAAAGCGUGGGGAGCGAACAGGAUUAGAUACCCUGGUAGUCC